AACGUACGCUGGCGGCACGCCUAACACAUGCAAGUCGAACGCAGUAGCAAUACUGAGUGGCAAACGGGUGAGUAUAAUGUGGGAAUCUGCCUUUUGGUUUGGAAUAACACGGGGAAACUUGUGCUAAUACCUAAUAAGCCCUUACGGGGAAAGUUUUAAUGCCGAAAGAUGAGCCCGCACUUGAUUAGCUAGUUGGUAAGGUAAAAGCUUACCAAGGCAACGAUCAAUAGCUGUUCUUAGAGGAAGACCAGCCACAUUGGGACUGAGACACGGCCCAGACUCCUACGGGAGGCAGCAGUGGGGAAUCUUGCACAAUGGGGGAAACCCUGAUGCAGCGAUGCCGCGUGAGUGAAGAAGGCCUUUGGGUUGUAAAACUCUUUCGUCGGGGAAGAAAAUGACUGUACCCGAAUAAGAAGGUCCGGCUAACUUCGUGCCAGCAGCCGCGGUAAUACGAAGGGACCUAGCGUAGUUCGGAAUUACUGGGCUUAAAGAGCUCGUAGGUGGUUAAAAUAGUUGAUGGUGAAAUCCCAAGGCUCAACCUUGGAACUGCCAUCAAAACUUUUUAGCUAGAGUGUGAUAGAGGUAAGUGGAAUUUCUAGUGUAGAGGUGAAAUUCGUAGAUAUUAGAAAGAACACCAAAUGCGAAGGCAACUUACUGGGUCACUACUGACACUGAGGAGCGAAAGCAUGGGUAGCGAAGAGGAUUAGAUACCCUCGUAGUCCAUGCCGUAAACGAUGUGUGCUAGACGUUGGAAAUAUAUUUUUCAGUGUCGCAGCGAAAGCAUUAAGCACACCGCCUGGGGGAGUACGACCGCAAGGUUAAAACUCAAAUGAAUUGACGGGGACCCGCACAAGCAGUGGAGCAUGUGGUUUAAUUCGAAGAUACGCGCAGAACCUUACCAACACUUGACAUGUUCGUCGCGAGACUAAGAGAUUAGUCUUUUCAGUUCGGCUGGACGAAACACAGGUGCUGCAUGGCUGUCGUCAGCU
rnacentral:rRNA from 1 species